UACGUAGGGGGCAAGCGUUAUCCGGAUUUACUGGGUGUAAAGGGAGCGUAGACGGCAAGGCAAGUCUGGAGUGAAAGCCCGUGGCCCAACCACGGGACUGCUCUGGAAACUGUGUUGCUGGAGUGCAGGAGGGGUAAGCGGAAUUCCUAGUGUAGCGGUGAAAUGCGUAGAUAUUAGGAGGAACACCAGUGGCGAAGGCGGCUUACUGGACUGUAACUGACGUUGAGGCUCGAAAGCGUGGGGAGCAAACAGG
rnacentral:rRNA from 1 species